CCCUUAGAUGUUCUGGGCCGCACGCGCGCUACACUGACGAAGUCAGCGAGCAUGUCCUACGCCGACAGGUGCGGGGAAUCUUGUCAAACUUCGUCGUGAUGGGGAUUGAUUUUUGAAAUUCUUGAUCAUAAACGAGGAAUUCCUAGUAAGCGCAAGUCAGCAGCUUGCGUUGAUUACGUCCCUGCCCUUUGUACACACCGCCCGUCGCUACUACCGAUUGAAUGGUUUAGUGAGAUCUUCGGAUUGGCGCCACUGCAGCUCAGCAAUGGGCUUGGUGGAUGCCGAAAAGUUGAUCAAACUUGAUCAUUGAGAGGAAGUAAAAGGCGUAACA
rnacentral:rRNA from 1 species